rnacentral:rRNA from 1 species
UACGUAGGGUGCAAGCGUUGUCCGGAAUUAUUGGGCGUAAAGGGCUCGUAGGCGGUCCAUCGCGUCGGGAGUGAAAAGCUGGGGCUUAACCCCAGUCCUGCUUCCGAUACGGGUGGACUAGAGGUAGGUAGGGGAGACUGGAAUUCCUGGUGUAGCGGUGAAAUGCGCAGAUAUCAGGAGGAACACCGAUGGCGAAGGCAGGUCUCUGGGCCACUACUGACGCUGAGAAGCGAAAGCAUGGGGAGCGAACAGG